rnacentral:rRNA from 1 species
UUGAACGCUGGCGGCAGGCCUAACACAUGCCAGUCGCACAGUAACAGGAAGAAGCUUGCUUCUUUGCUGACGAGUGGCGGACGGGUGAGUAAUGUCUGGGAAACUGCCUGAUGGAGGGGGAUAACUACUGGAAACGGUAGCUAAUACCGCAUAACGUCGCAAGGCCAAAGAGGGGGACCUUCGGGCCUCUUGCCAUCGGAUGUGCCCAGAUGGGAUUAGCUAGUAGGUGGGGUAACGGCUCACCUAGGCGACGAUCCCUAGCUGGUCUGAGAGGAUGACCAGCCACACUGGAACUGAGACACGGUCCAGACUCCUACGGGAGGCAGCAGUGGGGAAUAUUGCACAAUGGGCGCAAGCCUGAUGCAGCCAUGCCGCGUGUAUGAAGAAGGCCUUCGGGUUGUAAAGUACUUUCAGCGGGGAGGAAGGGAGUAAAGUUAAUACCUUUGCUCAUUGACGUUACCCGCAGAAGAAGCACCGGCUAACUCCGUG